GGGGGUAUAGCUCAGUGGUAGAGAGCAUGCUUAGCGUGCACAAGGUCCUGGGUCCAAUCCCCAGUGCCUCCA
rnacentral:tRNA from 1 species